rnacentral:rRNA from 1 species
UACGGGGGGGGCAAGCGUUGUUCGGAAUUACUGGGCGUAAAGGGCUCGUAGGCGGCCAACUAAGUCGGAUGUGAAAUCCCCAGGCUUAACCUGGGAACUGCAUCCGAUACUGGAUGGCUUGAAUCCGGGAGAGGGAUGCGGAAUUCCAGGUGUAGCGGUGAAAUGCGUAGAUAUCUGGAGGAACACCGGUGGCGAAGGCGGCAUCC